AUAUAUACCACAUCUUUAUCCAUUCAUCUGUCGAUGGACAUUUAGGUUGUUUCCAUGUCUUGGCUAUUGUAAAUAGUGCUGCUAUGAACAUAUGGGUGCAUGUAUGUAGUGUAAGCAUCCUACGGAUAGAGACAAAGUUGAUUAAUUCCUAUCUCCCAGAAAUUGUAGCCUAGUGCUAGGCACAGAGCAGAGUUUCAGACUAUUUACUGAAUGAAAUAUAAAAGUUAUUUUGAAUUAUGACAUUGAUACAGAAACAACAGAGUUAGAGAUAUUAAACCAAAUUUCCCCCACAGAUCCUUGAUUCAGUACAGCAGGGAGGAAAUAACAUACAACAUUCUUGGUGCAAAUAUGUUUUCUGUUUACUGUGGAAUGUGUAUUUAGUAGAAAUAAUAGUUCACUAAAUUCUGUUUAGCAAAGGUUGUAACUAAAAUGUGUUAUGUAUAAGAGUUUUCCUUCUGUAUGUGUGCACAUGAGUGUUUGCAUGUGUUUGAGGGUAUUAUUGCCUAUGGGUAUUGUUUUGGCUAUAACUUGUGUCUGAUAAGCUUCUGAGACCUAGCCUGAGAAUCUAACCAUGAUUUGGAAACCAGACUACACCUUUUUGAAAUACAUCAUAUUUGCAAAUGUGUUCUUAUCUUGUAUUUACAAAAACUGACAGAUGAAUUUGGUGUUUGAAUCUGUAUAGUCUCUCUUCCUAGAAACCAUCAGAGGGACAGAUAGUUAUAUGCCUAAAUGACAUAGUUCUAAAGGCAGAAGACUUAAAUAUCUGAGAUGUCAAGAUCUCUCCUAGCACAAUGCUAGGUUCUUGCUAAAUCUUGCCUUACUAUUCUUUUAUUGCAUAUGAUACUUUAGACAUGAAACAAACUACAGCCUAUUUUUGUAAAUAAAGUUUUGUUGGGACAGAGUGCUCAUUUGUUUAUGUAUUAUCUAUUGCUUUUGUGCUACAAUGAUAGAGUUGAAGAGUUGUGACAGAGACUGUAUGGCCUGAAAAACCUAAAAUAUUUAUUAUUAUCUAACCCUUUACAGGGAACUUUUGCCAACUCUGGUUUAGAGUACUAAUUACACAUAUAAUUCCAUAUCCAUGUUAGAUGGUAUAACCUAUUUAGCUUCAUGGAUGAUGAAGCUGUAACUCAGAAAGUGAUGAGGAAUUCCCAAGAUCACAUAGAAGGGAAAUAUAAUGCAGUGGGUAAAAUGAAAGUUCAGGAGGCAGACUGCUUGAAUUUAGAUCCCAUGUCUGUCUUCAUCAUCAAGUUAUUUAACUCCUCUGUGCCUCAGUUUACUUGGUAAAAUGAGCAUAGCUGUAGUACCUGCCUUAUAGGAUUAUGAUGUAAUGCAUGUGUUUGUAAGAACUCCUUAGUAAGCAUUCAAUAAGUUAUAGCUAUUAUUAUAUGCUCUUGUGUGGCUAGCUGGUGGUAGCAUAGCCUGAGCCUAAUUCUUCAGACUUCAAGUUCAGUUCUCUUUCAAUUCUUAUUAUUUGUUCAUUCAUUUAGUCAUUCAGUAUACCUUUCUUAAAUUCCUACUGUAGAUCAGGCACUCCGUCAGGUAUGGUUCUAAUCUUUUCCCUCAUUCAAACUUUUCCAAGAGUAACAUUAUAUUUUCCUAUUUAUAUUUUCCUUAUUAGUUAUAAAAUGGCAAGAAAGAAAUAAAAGUUCUAUACAAUCCAAAAUGACACAUUUUUGUAGUUUAUUCCAUUUUCCUAUAUUUCUUUCCUGUUUUGAAAGGUUAAAUUUUUUAUACUCUAGAUGUAGCAGUAUAGACCAGAUCAAUGUAUAAGGGAUUAUCAAUGUAUUUUUGAAUUGUUUUAUCUUCAGGUAAAAGUUUUCUUUUUUUGUGACAUAAAAUUUUACUGACAUGUUUUCUGUAGCAAAAUUGACUUACCUACAGUUUUUUCCGCAGAAUAUUAAAAGAGUUAUUACUUAAGUAGGUGCCGAUGUAUUUACUUAUCUGAUGAGUUUAAACAGGGUCAGGAUGGUUAGCCUCACAUAAACCCUGAAUUUUCAGCACUAGCAGUAUUUUAGCUUUUAAAAUCACUUCUUUGACACACUUCCCACCCCAUAUUCUACCAUUGGCAAUAGGCCACCAUGAAAUACUGAGCACCAUGGAAAUAAUUGGACUGUCAUGUUUGCUAAUAGAGUGCUUUUGAGAUACAUUGGGGGAGACAGUUAUUAAAAUGUUGGCUGUUAACGUUUGAUCAUCUAAUCCAGGAUUUAAGCAUUUAUCUGCUCUCAUUAUAAUAUGUGUCAGCUGUUCUUUAUUGAAUAACAUUUACAUUUAGCCUUUUCCUAAAAUGCUAAAGUUCAUCCUUUUCAGAGCACCUGUAAAAUGUAAUCAUUCCUCUUACAACAUCAAAUAAAAUUAACUACAGUUUCACUGUAAAUCAUCAGAUAAUGAAAACCAAAAUGCUCCAAACCAAACUUAUCUCCAUAACUGCCUACGUUUUUCUUAUUAUUUUCCUCAGAGAAAAAUUUUCAAAUUAGUAUUUUGCUUACCAUCAUUUUGCUAUCAAAUUAUUUUGACUUGAAAAAAAAUUCAUUAGAAUGGAUGAUGGGUACAGCAGAGACUAGUUAAUAUUCACCAAUCGGUUUCCUCUUCCUAGGUUAAGUAUAUUUCAGGUCAUUUAAUCAGCUUAACCAAUGUUAAGUGAGCAGACCAAAGCAUAAAGGACAGGUGUGCCUUCUCUAUGAGCUCUCUUUCUCUUUGCCCCUAGAGCCUGGAUGCUUAAAUUUGUGAAGAACAAAACCUCCCUAUCAACCGUCAUUGGACUGUAACCUUGCGUUAAGUGACUGAAAUCACAUGCUUUUGUUUGUGGAAGAAAGCUGAAUCAGGGCUCAGACAUACUUGAGCAGCAUCACAGCCUUAGGCUCACCAGGAUUUCAGAAAGCCCAAUUCUCCCCAAAGAGCUAAACGCAAAAAAAAAAAAAAAAAAACAGAGGAAACAGAAGUGACAAGUUUAGAAGAGUAUACAGAAUACAUCUAAUAUCAUCACUGAAAAGACAGAAUAACUCCAAGAAAAAAGUGUCAAAAACUCUUCUCAUUUAAGGAGUGAGUGGAGUUGAAAUUUCUCUAACGGUGGGUCUGGAGCUGAGUGCUUCCAGGAUUGCAAUUCAGGUCAGUGAUUUUCCUUAUGGCUAGUGUAUAAUAGAAGUAAUAUUUCUGCAUUUGUUUAUUUGUUUAACAAAUAUGUAUUAAGAUUGUCCACUGGCAGAUUUUACUUUGUGCAAGUAUGAACCAAGCAGGUAGACUGACUAUGCAUUAACACCUGGCCCCCAACCCAGGAGCCCUAGCUCUUCCUGAGUACAAUGUUCCAGUUGCCUAACUUGCCCUCCAUACCUGAUGACUGGAUCAGGAAUAGCUUUUUCGAUGAAUCCAUCUUUCUCUGUAUCUGAGAUUUACCUACAACCCUGGCUUAUCUCUCAAUAGUCCCUUCUUUUCAUCUUGCAGAAAUCAUCUUGAUCCUUUGGUUUUCUGAUAUUCCCAAAUCCAAUCCACAAAACUGUUACGGACUAAAUUUUUUUUUUUUUACCCAUUUGCUAUUAUUUUGAUGCGAUUUUGGAGGGAGGGAUAAUAAAUAUGACAGGAAGAUACCUUAUAUUGGUAACAGAAUAGAUGGUGGUCAAGUGUAGAGCAGAGGCAGAAACGGAGGUGAGGAGAUUAAAUAGGCUACUUCAGUAGUCCAAGCCAAAAGAUUUUGCUUUUCUGGUUUUUUAUUUGAAAUAAAAAGUUUUUAUUUUAAUAUAUCAAAGGAAAAUUGGAAUUGGAAAAAGUAAAACGGUAAAAAAAAGUUACAAAGAGUAACUUAAUACCUUAUCAAAACCUUAACAGUGAGUCAUUAUUUCAGAAUUUUUAUCACUGGAUUUAAUCAUUUUUUAUAUCAGAUAUAAAACAGAUAUCAUCUGUUCUCAGUUGAAAAUGUUACUGCUGAUGCUAUGCUUUUAUUAGCAUAUUAAAUAUUUUAAAUAUAUUUUUGAUAUCUAAGUUUAUAUAAUUAUCUCAAACAUCUAUUUUGAUAAGACUGUCUUUGGCAGUUACAUAAGUGCUGCAGUCACACCAGAUAGACUCAUAUUCAUGCAAUUAACAAAAAGGAAUACCUUUUUUUAAUAAAGGUGCACCAACCAACAAAAUUUAAGAGGAAAGCAAAAAGUAAGCUGAAAAUUUCAGAAGUUGAGCCUGGAAAAAUGGAAGUUCAAUAGGGCAUGGCUGGAAACACAGUCAAAGGCUUCAUAUUCAGUCAAAACCUGAACUCUGCCUAUAACUGCCCCUACAAGUGUGUGCCUAUUUCUUUUGGCUGUUUAGUCCAAUUUCAUUAUACUCACCAUAGGUGUUUGAAGAAAACAGAAAAGCCGAAACUAAUGAGUGUGUGUAGAGUUGUAAAUCUGUAUAAUGGCCAGAAGCUAUUGCUAUGUUGUUUUCUGUAGUGGCUCAGAUCACUUUUUCUCUGCUUGAAAUAAUUACUGUCGUUAGUGAUGCACGUUCCUGAAUUUAAUAUAUCUAGGUUUAUGCUGUCAUCCAUCACUGUGCAAACAUCUUCUAUCUUCUCUACUAUCAUGAAAAGUUUCUUUAAGUUUUAAGAUAUUUUACAGACCCAGUGAUGAGUUUUAACUAUGAGAAAUCACCGAGCAAAAAUUCUACCUCUCUAAGUUUUAUGUAUAUUAUGGUAGUUAUAUUAGUAUUUUUUUUUUUGCCAAAACUUGAGAACAGUGAAUGCUAAUAAGCUCCACACAACACAUCAUCAUUCUCUCGUGUCAUAUGAUCUUAUAACACAAUAAAUUGUUACCACUUAAUAAAGGCCUUGGUUUGAUAAUUUUCUAGUCUUCUUAAAAGGGAGACUUUUACAUAACUUUGUUACAUAGCUCUGUUCAGGAUUUGGCCGUCAUCUUUUUCUGUUGUUCAAGUAUAAGCAAGAUGAUUUCCCUGUACUCAGUAGUGAAGUGUGGGCAAGGAGACACUCCUAGCUUCACGGCUCUCUCCGGCUUCCCCUCCUGUGGUUAUUCUGAGGUGUUCAAAAGUAUGACCUUUCUGAGAUGUGUCUCUUCUCCUUCCCCAUUUUUAUCUGUAACGUCCCUUUUCUUAGCCAUUUUGUCUCUGUCUUGCUCAAUUUAGAUUCUCUGAGUAAGCUCUCCUGUUUGUAGGGCUUUGUCCUAGAAGAGAGCUUCACUUGGCUAAUUUCAAAAGUUCUUACAACCCUUAUCACUCCACCACCACCUGAAUUUAAUUUUGUGUUCCCCUGGCUCUUACCCAUUAGCUCUACUAUAGAUUUGUCUGCUCCUCUCAGAUCAGUCAGCUGAGCUUUCUCUGUAGAGUAGAGACACUGCUUUAGAAGUGAAUACAUGCUAACAAUUUAGUUUCUGGGAUUCUUAGAAGUCUUUUUGCUUUACCUUUGUUUUUUGUUGGGCAUUUCACUAAUACCACACUUGUCUUGCUGUAGCUGUUUUGCUGCACCUACUUAUAUUUUGGAGUCUGUGGUGAUAACAAGUCAUUUAGUUUGUUGUAUUUAGCUUUUGUCUGUGGAUUUUUUUCUUUGCUAUCUUAUUUACUUGGAUUCUGAGGAGGUUUGGGAAUUUACCCAACGAGGUUGCCCACUAUAGCUUUCAGUCUUGCUCCAAUUUCCCUUUUUAUUUCUUCCUGACUUUGGUUUGCUAAAUAAUAUUUUUCUAGGAAUUUGUCCUUUUUGGGUUUUUUUGCGGUACUCAGGCCUCUC